rnacentral:rRNA from 1 species
UACGUAGGGUGCGAGCGUUGUCCGGAAUUAUUGGGCGUAAAGGGCUCGUAGGCGGUCUGUCACGUCGGGAGUGAAAACCCGGGGCUCAACCCCGGGCCUGCAUUCGAUACGGGCAGACUAGAGUUCGGUAGGGGAGUCUGGAAUUCCUGGUGUAGCGGUAAAAUGCGCAGAUAUCAGGAGGAACACCGGUGGCGAAGGCGGGACUCUGGGCCGAUACUGACGCUGAGGAGCGAAAGCGUGGGGAGCAAACAGG